GGGUUAGAUGGAGAAGGGGGGUUCAUUUCUUUCUGAUAGUGACGGCCUUGGUUCACAGGCUGAAAGAAACAAAACAUCUGUGAGGCGGAAACCCAUCAGCUUGGCGACCUUGGCACACACCCUCGCAUCAGUCCUCAUUUCUGAUGUUUUGAUAUCAACGGUUCUCAUUUUUUGAGAUCUUAUUUCUGAUAUUCCAUCUGCAGGAGAGAGCUGCGUCCCCUUCCCAGCGUAGGCAGAGGCUCUGGGAGACCCAGCAAUCCCAGGGUGGCAUAACCCACAGAACGCAGGCCACUUUAAAGGGUUCCGUAGCAUCUGUGAUGUAAACAGAGGCCUCCCUCACAUGAGAGCUCUCCGUGUGGAAUCUUUAGGCUGUUGCUGCUUCUGGAGACAGCAGAGGAAAACAAGGUCUCCUGCUGAAAGCACUGGCAAUGGCUAGAGGUGCAGCAAAACAUAUUUAUGUCUCAGGGCCAGUAAGUUGGCGAGGACCACUCUGUUGCCGUUAGCUUGGACUGUUCAUGUGAAUCUCAGGUCCCACCCCCAAAUGUAUACGAAAACUGUGAGCAUGGAUCAGAAUGAGCUGACAAAGUGGUGCUAGUAAAAAUGGGGACUCUCUAACCCCCCCCACAAUAAACCUUUCCUCAUUUCUUGAAACACAACUAAGAAACACACAAAAAACAAGACAGAAAAACAAAUGAAUGCCAAUAAUAAAACUUGAUUUUCUUCCUCUUUGAGGAGAAAGUUCGGACAGCUAAUACCAACUCCAUUUUGAGGAUAAUUCUAAAUGUUUUCCUAACGUGGCUAACAAUGACAAAAUUCUAACAUGGAAACCACAUUAUUUUGGCCUUCUUGUUUUACCACACGGUGGAACUUGGCAUGCAUUUGUGAAGUGCAUUCAGAACUCCUGCUCCCACAGGGGUUGCUAAGGCCCCUUCACCCUAGUGAGGAGAUGUGGUCCCAUGGUGCAGAGGUGCAGAGACCAAGCUAAGAUGUGUCAGUCACCCAUGUGAGAAUCAUGUCACUUAGCCUGGCUACCUGCGAUGCACCAUGCAUUUCGGUGCUCUCAGAUAAUUUGGUGAGUGAACGGCAGGCAACACCGUCACGGUAAUCAGAAAUAACAGCUGGGAGAACAGUGGAAGGGAAAUAUGUCAUAAGGCAUAACUCAUCUCACCAGAGAAAUCAAAAUUUCAGCAAUUUGCAAGUGAAAUUUAGUUGGCAAUUUAGGCUUUAUUAUUUAGAGCGAGAGCUGCUUCUCUGGAUCAGCUUGCACUGGGAUAGGAAAUGUCCCAAUGAUGCCGUCGUUGGCAUCCACUGUGCGUCUGCAGCACUGAGGCCUCUGGUGAAUGGACUUCUGCUUAUUUAUCUCCACAUGCACUUCCAGAACUUUCUGGGUAGGUAUCACAGCUCCAUAACCGAGCAAAUGUCCACCCCUGAAUUUUAUAGCCAUUGGUUCUAUGUAAACUCAUUCCAAGCCCUUAUUCCAGAUGCUGUCUUUCCUUCCUUGGAAAGCUCUUUGCCCUGGGCACACUAGUUCUUCUCAGUGAUCCAAGGGGGAAGAAAGGCACAUCCAAUAAUGACUCACAAUAGUGUUUGGAAACAUUCAAUAACAGCUUUUCAGAGAAGGAAAAACUUCAUAUGCAGAGGUAUGUCUGCCUGAAGUCAAAUGUCAUCAAGUUGACUUUAUGGGGCUGAAGACCUGCUACCCCACCUGUGGUAUCUUGCAUUGAGAAACAGAAGCAGUGACAAGGUUGCACAUCCCUGCCCUUGCUCUUUACCUCAUACAACUGAGGAAGGAGUUUGUGGUGUACUCCUAAACCUUAUGUGAUCCUCCCUGCACCCAGAAGAAAGGAUCCCCCUUAUCUCAAGAAGGUGCAGGAACACAGGGGAGAGGCUGAUCAAAAGGCCUUGCUAAGCUCUCCUGGUAUCCUUCCAGUAGAUCAUAUCACCUUUAUUAAAUCAUAGUUCUCCAUGAAUUUCCACUCUGUCUAAUCUAGCAUGACAAUAAGCAAGAGACCAUUUCUCUUGGAAAAUUCAAGUGUAAUCAUUUCUCUGGGUCUUCCUUUUUUUUCUUUUUGAGGGUUCUUGUGUCAUGAAACACGUAUGAAAUUUAUUUGUAGGCUUUAAAAAAGAAAUGAAUCUGUCUUCUAUUAUAAAUUCUCAGCCAUGGACCUAAGGUGGGUAGUGAAGGAGACAUUUUCCCUUUCCUGGGUUUCUCCUAUAGACAUAUCAAUAAGUUUGUUUUUUGGGUAGGUAACAUCCUGUGACGGUAUCUGUGAUGGUCAAAUAAAAUCAAGGUUUGAUUUUGGAAUUUAGCCUUACGUGCAGAAUACUCUAAGUAUUCUUAGAGUAUAAUGCAAAAGGCCAUUGCUCAUGCCCAGAAGUAACAACACCAACUCCAAUAGCAGCAGCAACUUACUGGUGUCUACGAACACCUACGAGGGCCACAGCAGUGACGCAUAUUUACCUCAGUUACCUCGUGCUAAUUCUCGAGAGGGAUGAUCUCAUUUGAGCCCCACUGCAAGCCUGUGAACUACAUAUGAUUAACUCAUUUAUUAGAAGAGGACAUUCUGCUACUAGUAUUAACCCAAGACCGUGCUUGCCAGGACACGGUGCAGCUAGGAUCUGUACCCAUUCGUGAGACUCCAUCUCGGCACUAGUUUGUUUGUAUUGUUUAAUGCAGCUUGGGAAUUCACGCAGAAUGUGGAAUGCAAUGUUUCUGAAUAACAACCUGGCAGGAUCCAUUCAGUAUACGGAAAGGAAAAAGGAAGCAGUCCCAAGAUACAUUUGUCUGAAGCAUACGAGACUGUCCGAUUUUUAUAAAUUAAGUUCACUUGAUUUGACACUCACAGCAUGUCGCUAUAUAUUUAAAGUUAACAUCAGUAAGAUUUUAAGCACACUGAUGAACGUGGGCCUGUUAUAUAUAGUUGAGUUAUAUCAGGCAACACACACUCGGAGAAUAAGGACCAUUCAUAUUGUGAGGUGACUUUUGUAGUCGCUAGCCAUAGAACAACUUGCACAUAACCAUAUUUUCUCCUGACAGCACAGAAAUGACCGUGACUCUAAUAUCAGUUUCCUCGUAUCAUUUCUCAGUUUCAUCUGAUUUUAUCUACAGUGCAGCACAAUCAAAACCCUACCUUCCUAGUUUACCCAGAUAACAAACAAGCCUGGCAUAUCCUGCAAGAGCUGAGGAACUAAUGAGUCUGUGGAUGAGAAGAAAUUAAGACCCAUUAGGGCCCCAGUCCGUGUGCACGGCCCCAGGAUGCCUGCUUAGCUCCAGGAGCCAUGAGAAGAGGAACUUGAAGAACUCCUGCCAGGUAGCAGGCUCCUAACAUGGAAAGGCCCUUUGGGGCUGGCUCAGCAGCUAAUGGUGCUUUCCACAGAGCCUGACAACUGGGCCCAGUCAAUCCCUGGGACUGCCAUGGUGGAAGAGAACUAAUUCAGCCAGGCUGUGCUCCAACAUCCAUGCCCGUGCCAUGGUGCGUACCCCUCACAGAUAGAUGAACGUAAAGGACUUCUUUAAUAAAAAGUUAGCCACCCUGUAAGGCAGAGGAGGCGGUGGAAACAACCAAACCCAGACAAAAUCCAAACAAACAAGUGGGUGUGUCCCAAAGGGAGAGGUCAAUGGAAGAGCAGGCAGGCUGGCAGAGAACAGGGACAGGGGACACUGUGGCUGGAGCGCAGUGUCAUUCGCCUGUGCACAUGCUGGAUGGGGUGGGGCAGGCAGCCAGGGUGAGUCUCAAGUUCUAUGUGAGCUGAGGGAGAGGGCCUGAAGAGAAGGGUAUCUGGCAUAAGGAGAGACGCUGCUCUCACCUCCACAGUCUGCCUCUUUCUCGAAUCUGAAAUGCCUUCCUCUGUUUUGUCUACAUGUAAACUUGCACUCCUUCAUGAGCUCUGACCUAAGUGAGGACGUCUGACAGCGUGCCUGGGACCUAGAGGCCAUGUUGAUAUGGAUUGCUCCUUCCUAUACCUUCCCACAGUUCUUUGUCUCACUGACACUCAUCAUCCUGAAUCGCAGAGCUUCUGUCGCUCUGUGAGCAUCCUAAGGUGGGGACAAGUUUUAUCCCUAACAUCCCUCCUAGUCCCCACCACAUUGUACUGAAUAGGUGCGGAAUGAGCGCAUGCGACACAGAUGACGAAGUCUGGGACGGGAGGUGGACAUUUACUCCUGCUCUGGGCACAGAGGAAGAUAUGGCCUUCACAGUGAGGCCUAGAGUAGUGCCACCGAAAAUCCUGGAGCUGUCUGGGUGUCAAUCCGGAGCAAGGUACACGGAUACCCUCACCGUGCAGCAGCAGAUGUUUUACAAGGCGGUAGGCCACCGGGUGAGUGCUCCUAACCCUUAGAUCAGAGGCAAGGAGAUGAGGUAUGAGAAAAGCCAGACAAACAGCACCGCGCCAAGUCCCUCUUCUGACCUCCGAGGAUACCAGGAGUGCACAUGCAGGAUGCGGAGUUCAUUACGGAAUGCAAUUUCCCAUUUGUUGCUAGUUCCAGUGGUGGAGCAAACCGAACUUGAUGAAAUAAUAAACACGUCCCAUGAAUCUGAAGAAUAGGACAGCGAUGAGAACCCCGUAUCCAGGGCAACCAAGAGUUCAGACUUCUCAGUCCAUAAAUAAUCAUUCCCCGGCUUGCCCUCUGUACUCCUGGUCUCUGAGCCACUUUCUGACAAAAUGGGCUCCAUCCGGACGGAGGCUGCCACUCUUUCUCUAACUGGGGCUUAAAUGACUGCUGGGGAAUAUUCUAUAAAAAAGGCACCGUUUCACUUCUGUCUGCAACUGACUCUUGUAAUUUUUCUCUGGUGAGAGGAUGCUCUGUGGCCAGAGUCAUGGGGGCAUAGAUACCAUCUAGCACCAAGCUGCCUAGAAAGUUCUGGGUAUCCAUGGCUGCGUCUAAUGAGACCAGAUUGAGCAAGAGGAAGCUGGAGGCAGGGGAGACAGAGACAAAGGUCCCAAAGUGAGCACUGGUGGUAACUGUCCGCCUUUGAACCUCCUUAGAGACUUCUGGAUUCACUGUCCAUGAUGACUUGCAUGUUCUCUCAAGAGCACAGGAACCUUAUCUUCCAUUGGAUGCCUGUAGCACCCAUUUGACAAGCAACUCACAUAUUAAGAGUCAGGAAGACAGCCGGGCCACUUCUCAGGAACCGCAGUGUUCUCACAGGAAGUGGAAACGCUAGUGGCAGCUGGAAGGACUCAUGUAACUAACACAUUGGACUACACGCCAAGAGGCUGCCCAGACACACGAUGUCUACAAAACUGUUGGGGGGCCUGGAACAACUGGCAGAUAGCAAACAAUUACUUAUUAAAUAUGCAAAACUUAUCUUCUCUCUACUACAUUUGAACUUAACAUUAUGUAGGUUUAAAACGUAUCUUAAACAUUUUAAGGAUUUAUUGAUAUUUACUUAA
rnacentral:sRNA from 1 species